CCCUUAGAUGUCCGGGGCUGCACGCGCGCUACACUGAAGGAAUCAGCGUGCUAAAACCAUUGUCGAAAGGCACUGGUAAACCCAUUAAAAUCCUACGUGAUUGGGAUCGGGAAUUGCAAUUAUUUCCCUUGAACGAGGAAUUCCCAGUAAGUGUGGGUCAUAAGCUCGCGUUGAUUACGUCCCUGCCCUUUGUACACACCGCCCGUCGCUGCCCGGGACUGAGCCGUUUCGAGAAAAGCGGGGACUGCUGCUGUCGGGGCUUUCGGGCCUUGGCUUCGGUGGAAACCGCUUUAAUCGCAGUGGCUUGAACCGGGCAAAAGUCGUAACA
rnacentral:rRNA from 1 species